UAGGCUGAAGCCCGCUGGAUUGGGUUUUUAGUUGUUAAUUAAAGUUUUAUGGGAUCGAAGCCCGUCGGCCUAGG
rnacentral:tRNA from 1 species